rnacentral:tRNA from 1 species
CGCAAGGUAGCUCAGUUGGUAGAGCAGCGGCUUCAUACGCCGAAUGUCGCAGGUUCAAGUCCUGCCCUUGCAA